AGAAUGACAAGAGUGGUUAUGUCAUAUAGUCAGCAUUAUCUCUCAGAGGCUGAUUGGUUUUCGUGGGGAGCUAGAAUUGUGGCUUCAGUCAUAGAUUCAAGGUGCCAGGGCCAAGAGAAUAACAAUCUCAGAUGUCGAGUGUCAGCAGUGAUUCUGUGUAAGUUGACACAUCAAACAGGAAGGUGGUCUCCUGCCUCCCCAAUUCUUUUCUUCUCGAUAAGUACCUUCCCAACUCUGCAACUACAUGCGCUUUGGUUGCAUCAUUUUGAGACCAGCAUUGCACAUCUUGUUUUUAGUACCCCCAGUCGUGUGCUCGCUCUGUCCUCUUUUUCCUGCAGAGUUACAAUUGUUUCA